AUUGAACGCUGGCGGCAUGCUUUACACAUGCAAGUCGAACGGCAGCGCGGGGCAACCUGGCGGCGAGUGGCGAACGGGUGAGUAAUACAUCGGAACGUACCCAGAAGUGGGGGAUAACGUAGCGAAAGUUACGCUAAUACCGCAUACGUUCUACGGAAGAAAGUGGGGGACCUUCGGGCCUCAUGCUUUUGGAGCGGCCGAUGUCUGAUUAGCUAGUUGGUAGGGUAAAGGCCUACCAAGGCGACGAUCAGUAGCUGGUCUGAGAGGACGACCAGCCACACUGGGACUGAGACACGGCCCAGACUCCUACGGGAGGCAGCAGUGGGGAAUUUUGGACAAUGGGCGCAAGCCUGAUCCAGCAAUGCCGCGUGAGUGAAGAAGGCCUUCGGGUUGUAAAGCUCUUUUGUCAGGGAAGAAACGGUCGGGGUUAAUACCUCUGGCUAAUGACGGUACCUGAAGAAUAAGCAUCGGCUAACUACGUGCCAGCAGCCGCCGUAACAC
rnacentral:rRNA from 1 species